CUGCGACGCGAAACUUUUACUGCUGGGCCGCGCUGCGGCGCCAAAGUCCAGAACUCGACAACAACAUGAACAAAAAAUCAAAUUGGCCUACAAGCUCCAAUCUAACAAACUAAUUAACAUGUAAUUCAUACAUAGACUUCAUGUAAACAUAUUGUAAAGACUUCUAGCGUGAUUAUACACAUAUAACAACACAAUUAUCAACUUUACAACACUCAAUUUCACUGCUUUUGGUAAAACCUCUAUUUUUGAUAUUUUUAAUGAAAAUCAACACUGUGAUUUUGUUUUUCAAUCAAAACAGUAAAUUCAAA
rnacentral:lncRNA from 1 species